UGUGUGGCGGAAUUGGUAGACGCGCUGGACUCAAAAUCCAGUGGAGUAACAUCCGUGUGGGUUCGAGUCCCACCACAG
rnacentral:tRNA from 1 species